UACGUAGGGUGCAAGCGUUGUCCGGAAUUAUUGGGCGUAAAGAGCUCGUAGGCGGUUUGUCGCGUCGGCUGUGAAAACUCGGGGCUUAACCCCGAGCUUGCAGUCGAUACGGGCAGACUUGAGUUCGGCAGGGGAGACUGGAAUUCCUGGUGUAGCGGUGAAAUGCGCAGAUAUCAGGAGGAACACCGGUGGCGAAGGCGGGUCUCUGGGCCGAAACUGACGCUGAGGAGCGAAAGCGUGGGGAGCAAACAGG
rnacentral:rRNA from 1 species